rnacentral:lncRNA from 1 species
UUUCAGGAGUUGCUAGCUUUCAGCACUUACGAGGUGAGUCUUCUCACUAUACUGUACCCGGAAGGGUUUGACUGUGUGACCGGAAGGUCGAAUAUGUUAUGUGAUAUGUAUGAUAUAUAUGGUAAGUUAAGAGUUAUAUGGAUAUGUAUGCUAUAUGUGGUAAGUUAAGUGUUAUAUGUGCUAUGUAUGAUAUGUGGGCCGGAAGGCAAUAUGUUAUGGGCCGGAAGGCGAUUAUGUUAUGGGCCGGAAGGCGUUGUAUUGAGGACCAGAAGGUCAGGGCCUGGAAAGGCGUAUGUGUGUAAGUGUAUAUUGGGGAACUCACUAAGCAUUUAUGCUUACAGUUGUUGUGUAUGUAUAUAUUUCAGGUACUAGCGAGGACCGUGGGAAGGCGCCGGCAUGAUCGAUACACACUGGGGAUUGUUUUAGGUUCUUGGGAGUUUGAAUAAUUGUAUUGACCGAAUAAUUAAACUAUUUAUGCCUUGUUUUU